rnacentral:lncRNA from 1 species
GUGCUUUUAUAGGAGAGCGAGAGAUAAUGGUUCCGUAUUGCAAAAUGUAAUCCAUAUUACCUUUUGUCUUACAUUAAAUUUGACAACCACAGAGGAAAGGUAGUAGAGUUGAUUUUCUCUGAGAAGAGCAUCACCAGUUCUUUGUCCGUUGCUCUUUUUCCUCUUUCGUUUUUUCUCCCUACAUCAUCAUUUUCUGCGAAAAUUCGACUAUCACUUCAUGUCGGCGUGAAAAGACUUACAUCAGUCACUGCAGAUCGAACUCCUCACAGUAACCGCGAGUAACAUGCGGCGGGAACAGGGAGAUUUUUUCGACGCCUCGCGGGACGUUUGUCGGGCGGUCCUGAUGACCGGCAUCGUGACCGGCGUCCUGUUGGUCAACGCCAUGCCCGGCAGCGGAGGGAAUCACCAUCCCCCGGAAAGUGGGAUCGCUGUUGCCUACCUUUCAGGCGGUGAUCGUGCAGAUGGAGCUAAGGGUAGUUUGGAGAGUCGUGUCGUUGGGAAAGAACUCCAAGCGAAAGUUCUACCUCUGGUUUACAACGAUGGAGACGUGAGGAUGGUCUCAAGAAAUAAGGAAGAAAUAACUCCUGAAGUUGAAGGAAUGUUCCCGAAAAGUGGAAAGGUUGCUGCUGAAGACGCCGGGAAGGUUUCCGGAGUUGGAGAUCCGAUUGCUGGAGAUGACGAAGGCUCUGCGAAUCUUUUGAUACCACGGGGUUUGCAAAACGAUGAUGCUGAUGAAGAGAUGCCGGACUAUGAUGAAGAAUUUCUCGGACCCAAAGUGCCUUGGGGUGAUGGUUACACUCACACUAGUUCGAGACGAAGUUCUUACGCGAAUGGCAGCGCUGGGGGAGGCUCGCGGAGAAAAUCUUCAGCUGCUAGUAUUGUGGUCGGGACUAUGAAACCUGUUUACCCCUCGAGUCCGUAUGCGCACCAACACCGCCAACACCCUAAGAUGAGCGAAGGUGGCGAUGAACGCGGUGAAGACGAAUUUGAGGAAGCGGAUGAAGAACCAGUUCGACUUCCUACCAGGAACAGAGACCCCAACGACAAUCGGGAUCCGCAGUUUUUUUCCGGGAUUGGCGACAUCUCUGCCGAAGAAGGUGAACCAGGCCCAGGUCCAAGUCGCUACGGUCCCCAAGCUCCUUUCGAUAUCAGCGAAUACAGUGACCCUCUCGCCCCUCAAAGGGGUGCUUUCGGUGGUUCCAGGACUUUUUCGAGGUUCGGCGGAUAUGGACCCACUUUCGGCCGACAACAAAUGCAGAUCGGGUUCGGUGGUCGCAUGCCCUCGCCAUUUUCUCGCAGACCGCCGAAUCGUUUCGAUCCGAUGGGAGGGAGCUUCUUCAACUCGGG